rnacentral:rRNA from 1 species
GACGAACGCUGGCGGUGUGCUUAACACAUGCAAGUUGUACGGAAAGGUCCUGCUUUUGUGGGGUGCUCGCGUGGCGACCGAGUGAGUUACACGUGAGUAACCUGCCCAUGCCUUUCGGAUUACUUCAGGAGACUGGGGCUAAUACCGGAUAGGAGCCACUCCUGCAUGGUGGGGGUGGGAAUGUCUCGGCGGUUGGGGCUGGACCCGCGGCUUAUCCUCUUGUUGGUGUGGUAGUGGCUUAUCAAGGCUUUGACGGGUCGUCGGUCUGAGAGGAUGACCGGCCUCAUUGGGAUUGGGAUUCAGCACAGACUCCGGCGGGAGACAGCAUUGUGGAAUGUUGCACGAUUGGCGGAGCCCUGAUGCAGUCACGCCGCGUGCGGGAUGACGGCCUUCGGGUUGGAAUCCGCUUUCGCCUGUGACGAAGCGUGAGGGACGGGAAUGGGUAAAGAAGCACCGGCCAACUACGUG